CCUACGGGUGGCAGCAGUGAGGAAUAUUGGUCAAUGGUCGGGAGACUGAACCAGCCAAGCCGCGUGAGGGAGGAAGGUACAGAGUAUCGUAAACCUCUUUUGUCAGGGAACAAAGACUGGGACGCGUCCCCGGAUGAGUGUACCUGAAGAAAAAGCAUCGGCUAACUCCGUGCCAGCAGCCGCGGUAAUCCGGAGGAUGCGUGCGUUUUCCGGAUUUAGUGGGUUUAAAGGGUGCGCAGGCGGUCAGGUAAGUCAGGGGUCAAAGCCCGGGGCUCAACCCCGGCCCGCCGUUGAAACUGGCAGUCUCGAGUUGGAGAGAAGUAUGCGGAAUGCGCGGUGUAGCGGUGAAAUGCAUAGAUAUCGCGCAGAACUCCGAUUGCGAAGGCAGCAUGCCGGCUCCACACUGACGCUGAGGCACGAAAGCGUGGGUAUCGAACAGGAUUAGAUACCCGAGUAGUC
rnacentral:rRNA from 1 species